rnacentral:rRNA from 1 species
CACUCCUACGGGAGGCAGCAGUGGGGAAUUUUGGACAAUGGGCGAAAGCCUGAUCCAGCAAUGCCGCGUGAGUGAAGAAGGCCUUCGGGUUGUAACGCUCUUUUGUCAGGGAAGAAACGGUGAGAGCUAAUAUCUCUUGCUAAUGACGGUACCUGAAGAAUAAGCACCGGCUAACUACGUGCCAGCAGCCGCGGUAAUACGUAGGGUGCAAGCGUUAAUCGGAAUUACUGGGCGUAAAGCGUGCGCAGGCGGUUUUGUAAGUCUGAUGUGAAAUCCCCGGGCUCAACCUGGGAAUUGCAUUGGAGACUGCAAGGCUAGAAUCUGGCAGAGGGGGGUAGAAUUCCACGUGUAGCAGUGAAAUGCGUAGAUAUGUGGAGGAACACCGAGGGCGAAGGCAGCCCCCUGGGUCAAGAUUGACGCUCAUGCACGAAAGCGUGGGGAGCAAACAGGAUUAGAAACCCGAGUAGUCCCAUGAU